CAGCAGCCGCGGUAAUACGGAAGGUCCGGGCGUUAUCCGGAUUUAUUGGGUUUAAAGGGAACGUAGGUGGACUGGUAAGUCAGUUGUGAAAGUUUGCGGCUCAACCGUAAAAUUGCAGUUGAUACUGUCAGUCUUGAGUACAGUAGAGGUGGGCGGAAUUCGUGGUGUAGCGGUGAAAUGCUUAGAUAUCACGAAGAACUCCGAUUGCGAAGGCAGCUCACUGGA
rnacentral:rRNA from 1 species